rnacentral:rRNA from 1 species
UACGUAGGGGGCUAGCGUUGUCCGGAAUCAUUGGGCGUAAAGCGCGUGUAGGCGGUCCGGUAAGUCCGCUGUGAAAGUCGGGGGGCUCAACCCUCGGAUGCCGGUGGAUACUGUCGGGCUUGAGUACGGAAGAGGCGAGUGGAAUUCCUGGUGUAGCGGUGAAAUGCGCAGAUAUCAGGAGGAACACCAAUGGCGAAGGCAGCUCUCUGGGACGGUACUGACGGCUGAGACGCGAAAGCGUGGGGAGCG